rnacentral:rRNA from 1 species
AGCAGCCGCGGUAAUUCCAGCUCCAAUAGCGUAUAUUAAAGUUGUUGCAGUUAAAAAGCUCGUAGUUGAAUUUCGGGGAUCAAUAUAUCGGUCGUGCCUUCGGUACGUACUGGUAUCAUUGGUUUCUCCUUUCUGACGAGCCAUGAUGUCAUUAAUUUGGUGUUAUGGGGGAGUUAGGACUGUUACUUUGAAAAAAAUUAGAGUGUUUAAAGCAGGCUUUAGCUUGAAUACAUUAGCAUGGAAUAAUGAAAUAGGACGUUCGAACCUAUUUUUGUUGGUUUCUAGGAUCAACGUAAUGAUUAAUAGGGGGUAGUUGGGGGGCAUUAGUAUUCAAUUGUCAGAGGUGAAAUUCUUGGAUUUAUUGAAGACUAACUACUGCGAAAGCAUUUUGCCAAGGAUGUUUUUCAUUAAUCAAGAACGAAAGUUAGGGGAUCGAAGACGAUCAGAUACCGUCGUAGUCUUAACCAUAAACUAUGCCGACUAGGGGAUCGGAUGAUGUUAAUUUUUUUAAUGACUCAUU